CUGUAAGCAUUUGGGCUAAAUAAAGCUCUGUGUUAGAAUAUUAGUGAUUUGCUUACUUUUUCUACUUUAACUGACGUGGGUUGUUUACAAACAUCCAGCAAAUCUUUCCCUUUUUGUCAGCCGGCUGUGGGUGGUGUAAUUCCUGCGUGCCUAAUUCUAAUAUAUGGGUUGAUUGCCUUUAGUUCAUUGGCUGAAUAAUCUGACCUGGGACUAUAUGUAGGCCAGGUGGCUGUUACCUGGGACACACCCUCUGUGGUUCCCACCCCCCUUCCUCGGCGUGCUGCUGGGCGAGGUCUGCAGUUUGGCGUUUGGUGUGGCUGGGUGAAUGCUCUCCUUUGUCUUGGGAAUUCUCCCAAGCGUGCGGUAGGCUCAGUUUGUUUUUCGCUGUUUUCUCUGAUUAAUCCUGGUGCUGAGUGUUUCUCCUGCUCCAUUUCAGUGCUGAGGCAUUUGUGAGGAGAUUGCUCCGGUGGUUUAUGCCACGUGCAAAGGUUUCCGUCUGUGUGUGAAGCUACGAGAAGUGUUGUGACUUUCCCGCUGUCUGCCGUGGAGAAGUGAAGCCUUGGAAGCUGGGGUGGUGGAGUACGGGGAGUGUCCAAUACAGCUCUACCCGUGUGUGUGUGAGAUCACCUGUGUCCCCCUCUUCGCGGAGGCUCCUCCCCCUGCAUUAGUGCUUUUUUUUUUUUUUUUUUUUUUUUUUUUUUUUUUUAGGCUUUGUGGUUCUUUUCUAUUUUUCCCUUUGCUUAUUUUUGUUAUAUUUUGUGUUAAUUGUUUUGUAUGUCCAGACUCAAUCCUGGUGUGUGUGCUGCCUCCGGUGAGCUGUAGCGGACUGGUUUGCUUUUUUUUUUUUUCUGAACGCGCGCUGCAUGUGACUCAGCGCGCUGUGUGUGUGUGUGUCUGUGUAUGUGUUACUAUACUUCCUGGGUCCUGAGUUGCGCGCUGCUGCGGGAGGGAAAGCCUGUAUGGUCAGUAAGCGUGAUUUAUUUCUUUAUGUUGCCGGGCUGUGUAUGGUUUAGUUGUGUUGGUAUAAUUGUUUAUUUGAGUUAAUUUGUUUUUGUUUUCUUUUGUGUCCGAACAGGAGCUGGAAGCGGUGACAGGCUGCUGAGGUGUUGAAGUCUAACUGGGUGUGCUUAGUGGUGUUUGUGUGCUGUGUAGUGGGGACUCCUCUCACCUGCAGUUAGCACUGGUCACAGUGUGCUCCAGCCCUGUUCAGGUUUUGUUUUUGAUUUUUAGUGUUUGUGUUUCUUUUUGUAUUUAUUUAUUGAUUUAUUGGUUUUGUUUUUUUGUAAUAUUUGAUAUUUAUUAAAAGUUAUAUUUUUAAGUAA